CAGUCUCCAGUCUCUGCAGAUGAGCCAAUUCAGUCUAAAGCAUGUGGAGAUCUUCAUCACAAACCUGAAACAGGAGUUUUAACACUCCUCUGUCGGUCAAAAUCUCAAAGUGUGACAGCUUGAGCAGCUCUCUUCCGCUCUGUGACAACUGCUUUUUUCACUUUCCUUCAUCCAAAAACGUCUUGAAGAAAUCAGAUAACCACAGGAAAAAACUUUAUUUUUAAUUUGAUAGCAACAGCUGCCAAAACAUAAAUAGGUUGUGUGAAGAAAGUGAAAACAGAUACAUAUGUCAGUUUUGGAAAACGACACAAACUUUUUUGAUUUUUGAUUAAAAAGGAAAUAAUCAUAACGAAAGACGACUGACUGAGAACGAUUUGAAAAUAGCUCAAAACAUAAUUUGAGUAGGACAUCAAGCAUCAGCAUGAUACCCUUAUGACCAGGAAAACAAUAAGAUUUAAUCACAGAAAGAACAGCAUCAUCAGCAUACAUCUGCAAUUCAGCAAAAACAGUCAGAAUCUCUGUCGGAUGGAGUCCUUUCACCAGCCAGGAUGUGAGACCUGAUGGAGGAAAUGUAACACGUUAUAUUAAUUACUAAACCAGUGAUAAAGUCAACAAUCAUUCUCUAUAAGGCUUCUCUAAGAAGCAAAUACAUCCACCUAAGAUCCUCCACCACAGCAGAAUCACAUGCUAGUUCCCCAUUUUUACUGUUUUCUUGGUUUUCCAAGAUUUUCUCUUGUAUAAUAUGGAUUUAUCUUUUUUUGUUGUUGCUUAUUUUCUGCUGCCUGAGCAAAAUAUCAAGCAAAAAUAGAGAAGUUUUGUAUGUAAAUUGUUGUUGUGACCAACAGAGGGCACAACACCUGCGACGCCCCGGUUACCUCUGAAGACUCCUGCAGCCAGACAGUGAAGCAUCCAUCAGUCCUGCCCCCAGAGGCCGAAUGUCUGCAGCGCGCUGUGGAAGGACGAGCUGCGUCUGAUGAAGAGGAGGACGACAGGGGCGUGAAGGAGGUGAAGAGGCAUGCCUGCCGCCUGCUUGGCUGUGGAAAAGGAUGUCAGAACAGCGCUGCUCAUCAAAGUCCUCUUCAGGAGAAAAACAGUGACCAUCCUCACAAGGACAGCACAAGCUGCUGCAGGCAGAUAGAGCUACUCAAGAAGAAACCCGACGUCAGCUUAGACAAAGAAAAGGUGAGACAAAAAACAAGUUUGACACCUGAGCCAAUGAGUGUGUAGCAACUUUAAUGUAAUUGCUUAAUUUGUCUGUUUUCUUUUUCACACGCCUCCAUAGCAGACCUCUCACUCGUCCUUCUUUUAUAAGCCACGUUGCGCGUGAUCCUCUAUCCACAGAUCUAAUUGCGCUGCUUACGGAGCAUGACAGACUCUGCAUGACAGAUGCAUGUUUAAUUCACUACCAGUCAAACUGCUUGAUCAUCCAAACCUUACAGUCACCGUUUCGUCUUUCAUCAUACAGGAAAUUAGACUUUUGCUGAGUCGGGUUUUGUCCAUGGCUUCUGAGAGCUUACCUCGGAUUGUUUAGUGGUGGUACCUGUGACUUGUUUGCCGUUUUCUCUCUUGUGGCGUUUAGAUUACUUGAUGGCUUUUUUGUUGUUGACAAAACUUUAAUGCUUCCCCAGACGCAAGUUCAUUGUUUGUAACAUGCAAAAGUAACCAAAAUAACCCCUGCCUGACAAAGUUCUUGAAUUUAUUCUAGAGCAUGAAAAAUACAUUAAAAAAGGGGAAUUUUUAAGUUUAAAAAAAAAAAAUCAAUGGAAUCUGUUAUAUGAUGGGUUUCCCUAAAAAUAGCAGCACCUGCCUACCCUCUCCAAGCACAAACAACCACAAAAGACCCAACAUGCAGGUGAACAGGUGCACUAUAUCCAGAUUCACUAUGUUGUGACGUAGUGACAACAAAUGGCGGUUACAGAGUGUUUACCCCAGUCUGGAGCAGGAGAGCUGCUUUGAGGAUUUAGGCGUGUAACUACUGCCCUCUAGUG
rnacentral:lncRNA from 1 species